rnacentral:ncRNA from 1 species
GGAAAUUCAGUGAUGGGAAAGAGUAGCUUUGGCAGAAGGUCGAAGAGAGCCGCCGGUGGUGGGAGUGCGGCACCGAAAGUCAUAGUGAAUGGGUCCCGGAGAAGGCAAGGCGAAAUAGUUUAAGUAGCUUUGCACGGCACGUCCCCCGUUAGCAAAGGACAGGAUAUCGCGAUAAUAUCGCUGUAUCUGAUAAGAGUGAGUUUUACAUUGAGGUGGCAAGCAUUUCAUCCUGAAGAUGAGAUGCUUUUGUUAUAUACACCCGAUGUAAAGCUAAUUUGGGUGGCACCACGGAAGCAACCGUCCCUGUA